rnacentral:ncRNA from 1 species
UAUGUUAAGGUGCUUUUGUAACAAAAAGAGAAUAGGGAAUACGGUGAAAAUCCGUAACAGCACCCACUACUGUAACUCUGACGAAUUGCUUUUUAAUCGUUUUGGUUAGCCACUGACGUAUGUUGGGAAGGUUCAAAGCAUAGUAGGAUGACGGGAAGCCAGGAGACCUGCCUUAACAGAUU